AUUGAACGCUGGCGGCAGGCUUAACACAUGCAAGUCGAGCGGAAACGGAGGUAGCUUGCUACCAGACGUCGAGCGGCGAACGGGUGAGUAACGCGUAGGAAUCUACCUAGUAGAGGGGGAUAGCCCGGGGGAAACUCGGAUUAAUACCGCAUACGCCCUAAGGGGGAAAGCAGGGGAUCUUCGGACCUUGCGCUAUUAGAUGAGCCUGCGUCGGAUUAGCUAGUUGGUAAGGUAAAGGCUCACCAAGGCGACGAUCCUUAGCUGGUCUGAGAGGAUGAUCAGCCACACUGGAACUGAGACACGGUCCAGACUCCUACGGGAGGCAGCAGUGGGGAAUAUUGCGCAAUGGGCGAAGGCCUGACGCAGCCAUGCCGCGUGUGUGAAGAAGGCCUCGG
rnacentral:rRNA from 1 species